CUAAUGUCUAUCUGACCGCAGUCGCUGAAACCUCUACAACUUAGUUGACCGUAACUGCCAGAGCCCUGCCCUGAAUUCCUGUCCUUACUCCCUCUUUAAGAUUGCGUACCCACUGCAGAGUGCUGAAGACGGGGUAGCCACGAGGUGAGAGGCUCUCUGGUGUAGGGUUUAACAUGGAACGUAGUUUUGUCACUUGAAUGCACGGAAAUUGGCGUUUUGACAGUUUUCUACGUUUAGGUGUUUUAUACACUUUAGGGUAACGUUAUCAUGUCAUUGCAUAGGGUGGAACUUAAAUAGAAACUGGAGAUGGCUGCUUCAGCCACAGUCCUAACCUAGAACUGCAUUUAAAGCAAACUGAUAAUGCAGAAACAAACUCCUUCGUUAAGAAAUGUCUCCAGUAGCAGGGUUAGCUUAAGUUUCAGGUAGGGUCUAGAUCUGCGGUUGGAACAGUACUGGAGGGUUGUGAGGUGCUUGACUGCUCUGAUGAAAUCACUAAUAGGAAGUGCCGUCAGAAGCGAUAACUGACGAAGACUACUCCUGUCUGAUUGCAGUCAAGUCUUCACCACUUGCUGGUUCCCAGGAGUAAACUUGUUUGAACGGUGACCUAAUUGCUAUAUUCACCUAGGUUGCAAAUUCGUGAAGAAUCAGCAUCAUGUUUGGCAGCUGAGUAUUGGAGCCAGGAGCCUGCCAUGAGGUUAUAUUCCCAGAGGAUGUCAGUCCCAAGGACCAGUAGCUGCCAUCAGUUUGGAUUCUGAAAACUAACUGGCAUCAACACUGGGUGUAGAAACAUGCUUGCCUUAUGUAUCAGAGGACAUGCUCAGCAGAUCCAAGAGAUAUAUUUGGCAACUUUUUCUAGAAAAGGCACAUUGGGUAUCAUUCAUUACAUUCUUGAGUUUUUUUGGGUUUUUUUUUUUUUU
rnacentral:lncRNA from 1 species